rnacentral:lncRNA from 1 species
GUAGUCAGGCUGCUGGUCUUAGCCCUGACAGAUAUACCUGCCAGUGUGGCUGCCUGGAACUUAGGAUUGAGUCAUAAGUUUCAGGGAUGAGAGGUGACCGGCACCCUGACAACUCUCAGAUAUUGCUACAACUCACACUGGAUAAUACAGCUACUGGCAUGGUGCAGGCUUCCUUUAAAUUAUGAAAACUAAGGCUUUUGUGACUGUUUAGCUUCCUGCUUUCUUAAGCUACCUGAUGGGUUCUGUAUCCUUUCAGACUAGGCCAUUUAACUGAUUUGUGGCUUGAAGGAAUUUCACUUCCUUGGGUGCUGGUACCUUAUUCACAGCAGAUGGUCAUGCUUAGAAAACCCUGCUUCAGGGUCAGUGACUGAAAAACCAGGGGUGCCAUGCCAGUGCCUUUGUCAGGGCUGUUUUCUGCUUAACCACUUUCUCAGAAUAAUGCAGAAGAAACCCAGUCCGCUACCUUUUGAGUGUGUGGGAAGAUAAGUAAGUGUUCAGGUGGGAAUGGUAGUUGCCUCUCGCAUCAGGGUUUGCAUGGAGAAGGAAGAGGUGCACACUCCUGCCACAGAGAUUCAUGUCUUUGAUGUGGCAAUGUCUCUGCGUGGUGGGGGCCAAGCCUCAGUGUUGAAGUAGGUUAUCUCAUUAAGCAUGAGGGGAGGGAGUCUUUGUGUCUGCUUGGAAAAAAAUCUCUCUUCUGUUCCACUAAGCGACCAACUUCCAUAAAAGUAGAGGAAAUAAUGAUUACUUUCCAAGCAGAGUCUACAUUGCCAAUGUGUGUGUGGAGUGGGAGGUCUCAUCUAGUCUUGCUGUUAGCAUUAAAAGUUUAGACUUUUUUUUUUUUUAAAAAAAGAGAGAGGGUCUUGCUCUGUUUCCCAGGCUGGAGGACAGUGGUAUAAUCCUACCUCAUUAUAGCCUCCAACUCCAGGGCUCAGUCGAUCCUCCUGCCUCAGCCUCCAGAGUAGCUGGGACUACAGGUGCACACCACCAUGGCCAGAAAAUUUUUGUAUUUUUUGUAGAGAUGGGGUCUCACCAUCUUGCCCAGGCCAGUCUCAAACUCCUGGGCUCAAGCGAUCCUCCCUUCUUGGCCUCCCAAAGUGCUGGGAUUACAGGCAUGAGCCAUCAUACCCAGACUAGACAUUUGACUUUUGAUUAUUUCCUUCAUUACCUUUUUUUUUUU